rnacentral:lncRNA from 1 species
GGGCGGGCUUGGGAAUGGAGACAAACUCCUCCGGGCCAUUAACGCUCAGCCGGACAGGGCUUAGGAGUCCCGAGCCCAGUCCUGUUCACCCCCAUUUUAUAGAAAGGGAAACUGAGGCCCAGACAGGGGAAAGUCACUUGCCGAGGUGUUUACUGCAGACUGCGUUGACCGAACCUGCUUUUUCACAGCAGUCAGACAGCAAGCCCUGCCGUCCCUCCAGGACCCUAGUUCCUGGCGAGGAAGGCGUUCUCAGCGAUAAUGACCAGCAUUAAAGUGCUCCCCGUUACCGGCGUCACUGCCCCAGCCAGUGGAGGCCCCGGAGAGGAGCUGAAGAUGUGUGACCUAACUUCUCCGAACCUUCCUCCCUCAAGGAGAGCUGAUAAUCCCUAACUCACAGUUCUGUGAGGAUUGAAUGCCUUAAGCAUGCAGGUUAAGUGGCUACUGAACGCAGUUUUUGUGGACAGAAACUGGUGCCAGCGUCAGAUCUGCGAUGCUGCCCAGGCAUGGUGGUGACCCUCUCUAAACAAGCACACUCAGAAUUUCCCUGGCCUCAGCUGGGCGACUCAGAAGAAAAUUGGCCAUCAGCUUCUGCCUCAAGGGGUGAAAAGAAAUUGCUGGACAUUGCAGAAAAAUCAGAAAAUGUCAGUAAGUUAAAAGAAAUCAGGCCAGGCACGGUGGCUCAGGCCUGUAAUCCCAGCACUCUGGGAAACCGAGCACCUGAGGGCAGAUCACCUGAGGUGCUGUGGCAAGGAAGACAGAGCAUGUGUGUUGUGAACACUCAUUAGAGGAUCAACCCUACUGUGCCAGGUGCCACGGCGCUGGAUGCAGAGAGCAGGACACAUGGACAGAUGGUGUGUUCACAAAGAAUUUGGAAGAAAGCCAGAUGGUGACAAGAGUGUGUCUCUGAAUGCCCCUUUUGGGGGUCACUAAAAAUGCCCCAGGGUUUUUAGUUGGACCAAUAAGGAGGCUUCAAAGAGAUGGCAUCUGAGCCAGGUUGUGAUACACCUAGGAUGUCAACAGGCAGAAAAAGGGCAGGGACUGGGAGUAAGGAAAGAACGUCUAUUCAAGGCACAACACUGAUUACCAAAGUUUCUAUCAUCCUUAUGUUGACAACAGACAUAAUUUUAACCUUUUGUAUAAGCCAGACUGUGAAGGAUUAUUAGCAGAAUAAAAGCAUCUAUUGGGCCUGGU